rnacentral:rRNA from 1 species
UAAACUGCUUGGGAAACUGAUAGUCUAGAGUGAGGGAGAGGCAGAUGGAAUUGGUGGUGUAGGGGUAAAAUCCGUAGAUAUCACCAAGAAUACCCAUUGCGAAGGCGAUCUGCUGGAACUCAACUGACGCUAAGGCGCGAAAGCGUGGGGAGCAAACAGGAUUAGAUACCCUGGUAGUCCACGCCCUAAACGAUGUACACUAGUUGUUGGGAUGCUAGUCAUCUCAGUAAUGCAGCUAACGCAUUAAGUGUACCGCCUGGGGAGUACGGUCGCAAGAUUAAAACUCAAAGGAAUAGACGGGGACCCGCACAAGCGGUGGAGCAUGUGGUUUAAUUCGAAGAUACGCGAAGAACCUUACCUGGGCUUGAUAUCCUAAGAACCUUAUAGAGAUAUGAGGGUGCUAGCUUGCUAGAACUUAGAGACAGGUGCUGCACGGCUGUCGUCAGCUCGUGUCGUGAGAUGUUGGGUUAAGUCCCGCAACGAGCGCAACCCACGUAUUUAGUUGCUAACGGUUCGGCCGAGCACUCUAAAUAGACUGCCUUCGUAAGGAGGAGGAAGGUGUGGACGACGUCAAGUCAUCAUGGCCCUUAUGCCCAGGGCGACACACGUGCUACAAUGGCAUAUACAAUGAGACGCAAUACCGCGAGGUGGAGCAAAUCUAUAAAAUAUGUCCCAGUUCGGAUUGUUCUCUGCAACUCGAGAGCAUGAAGCCGGAAUCGCUAGUAAUCGUAGAUCAGCCAUGCUACGGUGAAUACGUUCCCGGGUCUUGUACUCACCGCCCGUCACACCAUGGGAGUUGAUUUCACUCGAAGCCGGAAUACUAAACUAGUU